rnacentral:sRNA from 1 species
UACACACCAAAGCAGAUGUCAAAACACUAUUCAUCAAAUAUCUCUCUCAAAACUUUAUCAAAUCUUUUCAAAUUUGCAGCAGUUAUCAAUGGAGGCAGCAGGAAUCGAUUGAGGGUAUCGCAUUGUCUAAUUUGAAGAAUUGGGCUUGUUUGGGGUUUUGCUCAUUGUUAUCUGUAAUGGAAGAUGCUGUUGCCCUUGAUGUCUAUGAAUCCUCGCUCACCUCAGUAGAGGGGGAUAAUGUGACAGGUUAGCAUCUGUUAGUAGUCAAUUUACACAACCAAUCCCCUACCACUCCACACUCACGCGCUCAUGUGUGCAGUGUGCUUAUGAAUACUCCCCUCCUCACAAUUCCACUCUGUGAUUGUGUAGUCUCUAAUGAUUCCUCCACUCCACACCUCAUCUUGAUGUGAUCUCUGAUAUUCUUCUGUUCUGAUUCCUCUUCUAUAAGAGCCUCUUUGUAUGACCCUUUCUUCUAAUCUCUUCUCUCUUUCCCCUCUUAAUCAGUAAGUAGGAUAGUGCUUAGUCUGUUAAUUGGUAGUACGCCCGUUACAAAUUCAAAGAAUUCUGUUACAGUGUGGCGCACUCACUAAUGGGAGGUAGUGAGAUGCGCUUGGUACAGUUAGUGGCCAAUGUCUCAUGAUAGAAUCCAUUCUGCUU